rnacentral:lncRNA from 1 species
UCUUCCAUCAAAGCUCUUUCCUUUCUCUCUUCCCAUCAAGCCAACACCUCAGUUUUUCACCAAGCUGCUGUCCCCAUCUCUCUUUCUUUCUUCUUCAUAAGUCUAAAGGAGGUACUAAACCUAGCACGAUACUAUAUUCCUUCAUAGAUCCAUUCUUAACAUUUCAAAAAGUCUAGGGGAGGUCCUAACCCUAGCAUACC